rnacentral:rRNA from 1 species
CUAGCCGGUACUCGCGAAUGCCCAUAGAGUUUAAUUUGAUCAUGGCUCAGAGUGCNACGCGUGGUAAUAGGCCUAACACAUGCAAGUCGAACGGCAGCACAGAGGAGCUUGCUCCUUGGGUGGCGAGUGGCGGACGGGUGAGGAAUACAUCGGAAUCUACUCUGUCGUGGGGGAUAACGUAGGGAAACUUACGCUAAUACCGCAUACGACCUACGGGUGAAAGCAGGGGAUCUUCGGACCUUGCGCGAUUGAAUGAGCCGAUGUCGGAUUAGCUAGUUGGCGGGGUAAAGGCCCACCAAGGCGACGAUCCGUUAGCUGGUCUGAGAGGAUGAUCAGCCACACUGGAACUGAGACCACGUGUUCCAGACUCCCUACGGGAGUGCCAGCAAGUGGCGGAAUAUUGGACAAUUGGGCGCAAGGCCUNAUUCAGCCNUUACCGGCCGUUUGGGCGAAAGAAGCCUUCGGGUUGNUAAAGCCCNUUUUGGUUGGGGAAAACGCAAACU